AUAUUAAGGGAGCUCUAAGAAGGGCUGAGAGGAGACUGUGCGUCUCGACCUUGUAACCUGAUUUGGGUAAUGCCAACGUAGGGAAAUA
rnacentral:ncRNA from 1 species